GGACGAACGCUGGCGGCGUGCUUAACACAUGCAAGUCGAGCGGUAAGGCCCUUUCGGGGGUACACGAGCGGCGAACGGGUGAGUAACACGUGGGUGACCUGCCCUUAGCUCUGGGAUAAGCCUGGGAAACUGGGUCUAAUACCGGAUAUGACUCCAUGACGCAUGUUGUGGGGUGGAAAGCCUUGUGCGGCUAGGGAUGGGCCCGCGGCCUAUCAGCUUGUUGGUGGGGUGAUGGCCUACCAAGGCGACGACGGGUAGCCGGCCUGAGAGGGCGACCGGCCACACUGGGACUGAGACACGGCCCAGACUCCUACGGGAGGCAGCAGUGGGGAAUCUUGCGCAAUGGGCGAAAGCCUGACGCAGCGACGCCGCGUGGGGAUGACGGCC
rnacentral:rRNA from 1 species